GAUGAACGCUGGCGGCGUGCUUAACACAUGCAAGUCGAACGAAGCAUUUUAAACAGAUUAUUUCGGUAUGAAGUUUUUAAUGACUGAGUGGCGGACGGGUGAGUAACGCGUGGGUAACCUGCCUUAUACAGGGGGAUAGCAGCUGGAAACGGCUGGUAAUACCGCAUAAGCGCACAGCAUCGCAUGAUGAAGUGUGAAAAACUGAGGUGGUAUAAGAUGGACCCGCGUCUGAUUAGCUAGUUGGUGAGAUAACAGCCCACCAAGGCGACGAUCAGUAGCCGACCUGAGAGGGUGACCGGCCACAUUGGGACUGAGACACGGCCCAGACUCCUACGGGAGGCAGCAGUGGGGAAUAUUGCACAAUGGAGGAAACUCUGAUGCAGCGACGCCGCGUGAGUGAAGAAGUAGUUCGCUAUGUAAAAGCUCUAUCAGCAGGGAAGAUAGUGACGGUACCUGACUAAGAAGCUCCGGCUAAAA
rnacentral:rRNA from 1 species